UCCGGUGGCAAUGGCGGAGGGGAAACACCCGUUCCCAUUCCGAACACGGUCGUUAAGCCCUCCAGCGCCGAUGGUACUGCGUGGGAGACUGCGUGGGAGAGUAGGUCGCCGCCGGGA
rnacentral:rRNA from 1 species